UCACUACAAGAUAAUUUGGAAAUAACGGCGGAAUGAUAGCGGCGGUUCCUUGAAACAGUCGUCGCUAUUUGAACUCUAGGACAUAGCGGCUGUUCUAUCCCAAAAAUUUGAACUCAGAUCUGGAAAAAACGCGCUUCCCAUUUCUUUUUUACCUCUUCUUAUUUUCCACCCAAAAAUUUCAAGUUUCGAUUCACUAGUUUCAUUUUUGUAAUUUCUGAAAAUCAUUCUAUGUAUCGUUCAACCCUCGUUCAACUUCAGCAAAGCUUAGAACGAUUCAGAAUUGUUCUCUCAUUCUGAAGAUCGUUCAACUUCUGAAUCGUUCUCUCAAGCUUCGAUUCAGUUUCAACUCUCAUUCAGAAAUGUUCAACCCUCGUUCAAAUUCAGAAUCGUUCUCUCAAGCUUCGAUUCAGUUUCUCAGCAAAGCUUCGAUUCAGAAUCUCUAUAGCUUUAAUUCAGUUUUGUUCAUCCUUCAAUCCAGAGAUUCCUAAUGUGAUGCAAUGACUAGUUCAGAUAGUUAUAUAUAUAUAUAAGAUGAUGCAAAACUAAACUUGAAAAUAGGUUUUGAACUUUGAAAGGUCUUGUUCCUUGUGUUUCAUUACUGAUUGGUUUGUGUUUUAUCCCUGAAUCUCCAAUGAGGCUGGCUAAGGUUGGCCGCGAAAAAUAAUUUCAAGUAGUUUAAGUCGACUUCGGGGAAAGAAUGUCCAUAUUUCUAAUGAAGCUGAUGAAAUUGUUGUACUAAGCUUAUGGAUUUGUUCCAGAACAAACACGUGUGUUCCGUAGUUAUAGGUGUCAGAUUAAUGGUAUGUCAACAAUCUGUUGGAAUUAAUGGUAUUGGAUUUUAUACAUCAGACACAUUUGUAGCAGCCGGACUUUCUUCAGGAAAAAUUGGUACCAUAGCCUAUGCUUGUAUGCAGGUUCCAUUCACUAUGUUGGGAGCCAUUUUGAUGGACAAAUCCGGAUGAAGGCCGCUUAUAACUAUAAUCCUAUUUUCGAUGAAUUAAAUUUUAAUAAUGGCAUUGAUAAUUAAUAAUCUUAUAGAAGUGCUAAUUAACUAAUAUGCAUGUAGGUUGUUUUAUGACUGGAAUUGCUUUCUUUCUCAAG